GCCCUACUGGCCUAAUGGUUAAGGCAACCGCCUUCUAAGCGGGAGAUUCCAGGUUCAAAUCCUGGGUGGGGCA
rnacentral:tRNA from 1 species